CGCCCCGCUCGCCGGGGAAGGAGCUCGGCCAGAGAGAACCCGCUGCGGCGGCGGAGCGGAUUUUCUGGAAAAACAAGUUUCCCAGUGAUGGCUCGGAGACAGCAGUCGAUAUCAAACCACAUAAAGAAGCAGACCAUGACAGCUUCUACAACCCCCCAGACAAAAGAAUCAAAAUCUUUCCCAAAUGAAGAUACAAUCCUGGAAUUAUCAGAUACAGAAUAUAAAAAACUAAUUUACAGAAUGCUUUAAGACAUCAGAAACGAAAUAAGGCAAACUGCAGAAAAAGCCAAGGAACACACUGAUAAAACAGUUGAAGAACUCAAAAAGAUUAUUGAAGAACAUAGUGGAAAAAUUAAUAAGUUCCAAGAAUCCAUAGAGAGACAGCAUGUAGAAAUCCAAAAGAUUAACAAUAAAAUUACAGAAUUAGACAAUGCAAUAGGAAGUCAGAGGAGCAGACUCGAGCAAUUAGAAUGCAGACUGGGAAAUCUGGAGGACCAGGGAAUUAACACCAACAUAGCUGGAAAAAAAUCAGAUAAAAGAAUUAAAAAAAAAAAAAGAAA